CCUACGGGUGGCUGCAGUGAGGAAUAUUGGUCAAUGGACGAGAGUCUGAACCAGCCAAGUAGCGUGAAGGAUGACUGCCCUAUGGGUUGUAAACUUCUUUUAUAAAGGAAUAAAACGAGGCACGUGUGCCUUUUUGUAUGUACUUUAUGAAUAAGGAUCGGCUAACUCCGUGCCAGCAGCCGCGGUAAUACGGAGGAUCCGAGCGUUAUCCGGAUUUAUUGGGUUUAAAGGGAGCGUAGAUGGGUUGUUAAGUCAGUUGUGAAAGUUUGCGGCUCAACCGUAAAAUUGCAAUUGAUACUGGCAGUCUUGAGUACAGUUGAGGUAAGCGGAAUGCGUGGUGUAGCGGUGAAAUGCUUAGAUAUCACGAAGAACCCCGAUUGCGAAGGCAGCUUACUAAACUGUGACUGACAUUGAUGCUCGAAAGUGUGGGUAUCAAACAGGAUUAGAUACCCGAGUAGUC
rnacentral:rRNA from 1 species